GAAUUGUUCGCAAUGGGCGCAAGCCUGACGACGCAACGCCGCGUGGAGGAUGAAGAUCUUCGGGUCGUAAACUCCUUUCGAUCGAGACGAAUUUCUCCGGAGUGAAUAACUCCGGAGGUUGACGGUACCGAGAGCAGCCACCCCGGCUAACUCCGUGCCAGCAGCCGCGGUAAUACGGGGGGGGCAAGCGUUGUUCGGAAUUACUGGGCGUAAAGGGCUCGUAGGUGGCCAACUAAGUCGGACGUGAAAUCCCUCGGCUUAACCGGGGAACUGCGUCCGAUACUGGUUGGCUUGAGUUUGGGAGAGGGAUGCGGAAUUCCAGGUGUAGCGGUGAAAUGCGUAGAUAUCUGGAGGAACACCGGUGGCGAAGGCGGCAUCCUGGACCAAUACUGACGCUGAGGAGCGAAAGCCAGGGGAGCAAACGGG
rnacentral:rRNA from 1 species